GCAGUUGGUAAUUACAGACUCCACUGUGAAUACACGCUUAACUGCUCUCGUUUUCCUCUCUGCUUGCGCCCACUAUCAGAAUCGAUGUCCACCGUAAAGAAAAUGCAGGGGCUGCUGAGAAGUCGAUUACUAUCCUCUCUACUCCUGAAGGCACCUCUGCGGCUUGUAAGUCUAUUCUGGAGAUUAUGCAUAAGGAAGCUCAAGAUAUAAAAUUCACAGAAGAGAUCCCCUUGAAGAUUUUAGCUCAUAAUAACUUUGUUGGCCGUCUUAUUGGUAAAGAAGGAAGAAAUCUUAAAAAAAUUGAGCAAGACACAGACACUAAAAUCACGAUAUCUCCAUUGCAGGAAUUGACGCUGUAUAAUCCAGAACGCACCAUUACAGUUAAAGGCAAUGUUGAGACAUGUGCCAAAGCUGAGGAGGAGAUCAUGAAGAAAAUCAGGGAGUCUUAUGAAAAUGAUAUUGCUUCUAUGAAUCUUCAAGCACAUUUAAUUCCUGGAUUAAAUCUGAACGCCUUGGGUCUGUUCCCACCCACUUCAGGGAUGCCACCUCCCACCUCAGGGCCCCCUUCAGCCAUGACUCCUCCCUACCCGCAGUUUG
rnacentral:sRNA from 1 species